rnacentral:rRNA from 1 species
GACGAACGCUGGCGGCGUGCCUAAUACAUGCAAGUUGAGCGCUGAAGGUUGGUACUUGUACCAACUGGAUGAGCAGCGAACGGGUGAGUAACGCGUGGGGAAUCUGCCUUUGAGCGGGGGACAACAUUUGGAAACGAAUGCUAAUACCGCAUAAAAACUUUAAACACAAGUUUUAAGUUUGAAAGAUGCAAUUGCAUCACUCAAAGAUGAUCCCGCGUUGUAUUAGCUAGUUGGUGAGGUAAAGGCUCACCAAGGCGAUGAUACAUAGCCGACCUGAGAGGGUGAUCGGCCACAUUGGGACUGAGACACGGCCCAAACUCCUGCGGGAGGCAGCAGUAGGGAAUCUUCGGCAAUGGACGAAAGUCUGACCGAGCAACGCCGCGCGAGUGAAGAAGGUUUUCGGAUCGUAAAACUCUGUUGGUAGAGAAGAACGUUGGUGAGAGUGGAAAGCUCAUCAAGUGACGGUAACUACCCAGAAAGGGACGGCUAACUACGUG